UACAGAGGGGGCAAGCGUUGUUCGGAAUUACUGGGCGUAAAGGGCGCGUAGGCGGCCGCCUAAGUCAGACGUGAAAUCCCUCGGCUCAACCGGGGAACUGCGUCUGAUACUGGGUGGCUUGAAUUCGGGAGAGGGAUGCGGAAUUCCAGGUGUAGCGGUGAAAUGCGUAGAUAUCUGGAGGAACACCGGUGGCGAAGGCGGCAUCCUGCACCGGUAUUGACACUGAGGCGCGAAAGCCAGGGGAGCAAACGGG
rnacentral:rRNA from 1 species